CCUUUACCGCGCUCUGUAGAAGCUCAGUGGUACGCGCGUGACCUCUUGGGCUGCGUUCCAUUCCGAAGUGUACCUCACAGAGUGCUCCCUACUCCCUGCUCCGUUUGCAGUGAAUGUCAGUGAAGGGAACUUCCCGCGACAAAAUUCCACCAUUUGGAACACUCUGUGAAGUCACUCGCGCUGACGUCACAUCCUUGGUGCGUUACCAUGGUAACAUAGGCUCCUCGGAUACCUGUGGCUGCUACCGUGAAACACUACGGAUAUUAAAUAUUGAAUAUUUAUUGAAACAAAAUCUGAUACCAUUAUAAAGCAUAUAAUUGAACUGUUUAUAACCCUCUAAGGAUUUCCUGAAUACAUUAAAAUGUGACUUAUUAUGUCCCUUUAAUGUAAUGUCGUCCUCGAUAAUAAUGAAAAAUGUAUAAACACUUUUUCGAGCUCCUUUUUUUUCACACUCCAGCAAGACGCAAUGACUUAUGGGACAUUUUUCAUACCCAUUUCCGGUAAAAUAAACUCCACUUGUUCACUCGUUCCCUACACCGUUAGCAGAUCCUUUAGAACUGAACGUUUUCGCUCCCUGCGGUUUGGAAUCACACUUAACGUGGCUGAACACCUUGUGAAGUAUACUUCCCAGGGUACUUCAGGCCGAUUGAAGUGCACACUUGCUCUGAAUGCGCGCUCCCUGGGCCGUUUUCACGGGGGUCGGACUAAGAAACGCAUCCUGAUGGGGGAACCAACUUCGACACAACAGGAAGCAGCUGUUUAUUCCUCAUCGGCGGCGGAGUCAGAGAAGUAGUCAAAGAUGGCCUGCAGUAACAUGUCUGGGGGCAUGGACCUUCUCUCAGAAGUAAGGAUUGUGCUGCUGGGCGGUAGGACUGCAGGGAAAAGUACAGCUGGAAACACCAUCCUGGGAAAAGAGGACUUUGACUUACGAGGAAGUGCACAGUGUGUUAAGAGACAGAGAGAAAUAGCUGGGAGAAAGAUCACUGUGGUUGAAGCUCCAGGAUGGCAGAGGAAUAAAGCUAUAAAGCAGGUGCUCAGGCAGGAGAUUGUGCUCAGUGUGUCCAUGUGUCCUCCAGGUCCACACGCUGUACUGCUGGUUAUGCGGUUGGACUGCAGUUCAUGGGAGAGUGAA